rnacentral:rRNA from 1 species
CCUACGGGAGGCAGCAGUGGGGGAUAUUGCACAAUGGGGGGAACCCUGAUGCAGCGACGCCGCGUGGGUGAAGAAGCGCCUCGGCGCGUAAAGCCCUGUCAGCAGGGAAGAAAAUGACGGUACCUGAAGAAGAAGCACCGGCUAACUACGUGCCAGCAGCCGCGGUAAUACGUAGGGGGCAAGCGUUAUCCGGAUUUACUGGGUGUAAAGGGGGCGCAGACGGCGAUGCAAGCCAGGAGUGAAAGCCCGGGCCCAACCCCGGGACUGCUCUUGGAACUGCGUGGCUGGAGUGCAGGAGGGGCAGGCGGAAUUCCUGGUGUAGCGGUGAAAUGCGUAGAUAUCAGGAGGAACACCGGUGGCGAAGGCGGCCUGCUGGACUGCAACUGACGUUGAGGCCCGAAAGCGUGGGGAGCAAACAGGAUUAGAUACCCUGGUAGUC